CGAGCGAACCCUUCGGGGUUAGCGGCGGACGGGUGAGUAACGCGUGGGAACGUGCCCUUCUCUGCGGAAUAGGCUCGGGAAACUGGGUUUAAUACCGCAUACGCCCUUCGGGGGAAAGAUUUAUCGGAGAAGGAUCGGCCCGCGUCUGAUUAGGUAGUUGGUGGGGUAAUGGCCUACCAAGCCUACGAUCAGUAGCUGGUUUGAGAGGAUGAUCAGCCACACUGGGACUGAGACACGGCCCAGACUCCUACGGGAGGCAGCAGUGAGGAAUCUUGGACAAUGGGGGAAACCCUGAUCCAGCCAUGCCGCGUGAGCGAUGAAGGCCUUAGGGUUGUAAAGCUCUUUCAGUCGUGAAGAUAAUGACGGUAGCGACAGAAGAAGCCCCGGCUAACUCCGUGCCAGCAGCCGCGGUAAUACGGAGGGGGCUAGCGUUGUUCGGAAUUACUGGGCGUAAAGCGCGCGUAGGCGGACUAUUAAGUCGGGGGUGAAAUCCCGGGGCUCAACCCCGGAACUGCCUCCGAUACUGGUAGUCUAGAGUUCGAGAGAGGUGAGUGGAAUUCCGAGUGUAGAGGUGAAAUUCGUAGAUAUUCGGAGGAACACCAGUGGCGAAGGCGGCUCACUG
rnacentral:rRNA from 1 species